CGCGCAGGCGGAUAUUUAAGUCCGAUGUGAAAUACCGGGGCUUAACCCUGGGGUGCAACGGAAACUGGGUAUCUUGAGUACAGGAGAGGAAAGUGGAAUUCCACGUGUAGCGGUGAAAUGCGUAGAUAUGUGGAGGAACACCAGUGGCGAAGGCGACUUUCUGGACUGUAACUGACGCUGAGGCGCGAAAGCGUGGGGAGCAAACA
rnacentral:rRNA from 1 species